rnacentral:tRNA from 1 species
UAUAUUUUAGUGUAGGAUGCACUAAAGUUUUUGAUACUUUGAGUAAUAGUUUGAUUCUAUUAAAUAUAA